rnacentral:rRNA from 1 species
UACGAAGGGGGCUAGCGUUGUUCGGAAUUACUGGGCGUAAAGGGCGCGCAGGCGGCUCUUCAAGUCAGAUGUGAAAGCCCCGGGCUCAACCUGGGAACUGCAUUUGAGACUGGAGAGCUUGAGUUCGGGAGAGGAGAGCGGAAUUCCCAGUGUAGAGGUGAAAUUCGUAGAUAUUCGCAAGAACACCAGUGGCGAAGGCGGCUCACUGGCCCGGUACUGACGCUGAGGUGCGAAAGCGUGGGGAGCAAACAGG